GAUUGCCCUAGUAACGGCGAGUGAAGCGGCAACAGCUCAAAUUUGAAAUCUGGCGCAAGCCCGAGUUGUAAUUUGUAGAGGAUGCUUCUGGGUAGCGACCGAUCUAAGUUCCUUGGAACAGGACGUCAUAGAGGGUGAGAAUCCCGUAUGUGACCGGCCCGCACCCUUUACGUAGCUCCUUCGACGAGUCGAGUUGUUUGGGAAUGCAGCUCUAAAUGGGAGGUAAAUUUCUUCUAAAGCUAAAUACCGGCCAGAGACCGAUAGCGCACAAGUAGAGUGAUCGAAAGAUGAAAAGUACUUUGGAAAGAGAGUUAAAAAGCACGUGAAAUUGUUGAAAGGGAAGCGCCUGCAACCAGACUUCGUGGCAGUGUUCCGCCGGUCUUCUGACCGGUUUAUUCUCUGUCGCGAGGCCAUCAUCGUCUAGGCCCGCCGGAUAAGACCUUAGGAAUGUAGCUCACCUUCGGGGGAGUGUUAUAGCUUAUGGUGAUGCGGCGAGGCUUGGGCGAGGUCCGCGCUUCGGCAAGGAUGAUGGCGUAAUGGUUGUCGGCGGCCCGUCUUGAAACACGGACCAAGGAGUCUAACAUCUAUGCGAGUGUUCGGGUGUCAAACCCCUACGCGUAAUGAAAGUGAACGGAGGUGGGAACCGCAAGGUGCACCAUCGACCGAUCCUGAUGUCCUCGGAUGGAUUUGAGUAAGAGCAUAGCUGUUGGGACCCGAAAGAUGGUGAACUAUGCCUGAAUAGGGUGAAGCCAGAGGAAACUCUGGUGGAGGCUCGCAGCGGUUCUGACGUGCAAAUCGAUCGUCAAAUUUGGGUAUAGGGGCGAAAGACUAAUCGAACCAUCUAGUAGCU
rnacentral:rRNA from 1 species